GACAGAGGGGGCAAGCGUUGCUCGGAAUCACUGGGCGUAAAGGGCGCGUAGGCGGGGUCGCAAGUCGGUCGUGAAAUCUCCGGGCUCAACUCGGGGGGGUCGGCCGAAACUGCGGGUCUUGAGGGGCGCAGAGGAGUCUGGAAUUCCCGGUGUAGCGGUGAAAUGUGUAGAGAUCGGGAGGAACACCGGUGGCGAAGGCGGGGCUCUGGGCGCACCCUGACGCUGAGGCGCGAAAGCGUGGGGAGCAAACGGG
rnacentral:rRNA from 1 species